GUAUACCAUCAGUUUUGGUUGGUCUUUGCCAAGUCAUAAGACUAUGUAUGGGGGUUGACACCUGCCCAGUGCCGGAAGGUCAAGAAAGUUAGUGACCUGAUGACAGGGAAGCCGGCGACCAAAGCCCCGAUGAACGGGACCAUAACUAAAAUGGUCCUAACGUAGCAAAAUUUCUUGUCAGGUAAGUUUUGACCCGCACGAAAGACAUAAUGAU
rnacentral:ncRNA from 1 species